AAGCUCGUAGUUGAAUUUCGGGAUUAGUACGUCGGUCGUACCUUAGGUACGUACUGGUGUUACUGGUUCCUACCUUCUGACGAACCAUCAUGUCAUUAAUUUGGUGUGGUGGGGAAUCAGGACUGUUACCUUGAAAAAAUUAGAGUGUUUAAAGCAGGCUCGCGCUUGAAUACAUUAGCAUGGAAUAAUGAAAUAGGACGUUGAUCCUAUUUUGUUGGUUUCUAGGAUUGACGUAAUAAUUAAUAGGGAUAGUUGGGCGAGCGGGCUGGCAAGGC
rnacentral:rRNA from 1 species